UUGGUUAAGUUGUUGAAGACGCAGCUUGGACGAGAGGGGAAAAUCCUGCAGGUGGUAGAGACCGUGAGCAGGAGAA